rnacentral:rRNA from 1 species
GACGAACGCUGGCGGCGUGCUUAACACAUGCAAGUCGAACGGUGAAGCGCCUUCCUUUUUGGUGGGUGUGGAUGAGUGGCGAACGGGUGAGUAACACGUGAGUAACCUGCCCCCUUCUUCUGGAUAACCGCAUGAAAGUGUGGCUAAUACGGGAUAUUCUGGGUCUGUCGCAUGAUGGGUCUGGGAAAGAUAUUGUUUCGGUGGGGGAUGGGCUCGCGGCCUAUCAGCUUGUUGGUGGGGUGAUGGCCUACCAAGGCGGUGACGGGUAGCCGGCCUGAGAGGGUGGACGGUCACACGGGGAAUGAGACACGGCCCAGACUCCUACGGGAGGCAGCAGUGGGGAAUAUUGCACAAUGGGCGCAAGCCUGAUGCAGCGACGCCGCGUGAGGGAUGGAGGCCUUCGGGUUGUGAACCUCUUUCGCCAGUGAAGCAGGCCUGCCUCGUUUGUGGGUGGGUUGACGGUAGCUGGAUAAGAAGCGCCGGCUAACUACGUG